AGAUGAAUGUUUUUAUUCGGGUCGACCCGGUGUGUGAGCCUCAAACUGUAGAAAACAUUUACAUCUAAAAUCCAUAAAAAUAUUUUCUUUUAAACGUUUCCAGUAACUAACGGGUUAAACAUUCACACCUGUCCCAGAAAAAUAAAAGCAGGCCCCGCCCACUCAUGUCAAUCAACCUCAGAACCACUCAGUGCUGAGGAGGGGCGGGGCCACACUGGCUCUGAGGAACAGGUUCUAUCAUGUAUGUACACAGAAGGUUCUGCAGCUUCCUGUCUGACGCCACGCUGCUGCAAAGCAUCAUGGGAGCAGCUCAGCUCAUUAGUGCUGCAGGCCCCGCCCCCUGUAGUAUAGGCCCCUCCCCCAGCUACAGGAACAUGCUCACUUCCUGUCAGGAGGAGGACCAAGCAUCAGACAAGAAGCUCCAGAACAUCAGACCCACCUGGAGGCGGAGGCAAGCCUCACCUGCUCCCCACACACCUGGUGGGUCCCUCAGAGAGACUCCACCCCCCCACCAGGUGAGUCACAGUUAAAGACGUUAGUGUCGUCCAAAGACUUGGGUCAAAGUUCUGAAGACUUCUGAAGUCCUGCAGAAAGGUUCUGAAACACGACGAAGCAAAACUGGAAAAGUGACUCAGCAUUUUUUACCUCAGACUUCAGAUCCACCUGCUCCUCACAGGACCCGGGUCCACACAGGACCACCCACAGGACCCGGGUCCAUACAGGACCACCCACAGGACCCGGGUCCACACAGGACCACCCACAGGACCCGGAUCCACACAGGACCACCCACAGGACCAGGGUCCAUACAGGACCACCCACAGGACCCAGGUCCAUCCAGACCGAGGGGCUACCUUUGGACCAAAGCUCUGUUGAGACCACUUCCUACAUGGUCCUCACCUGGUCCUGGUCUCUCAGCCCACAUCUGAAGGAACCAGAGGCCUUCUGGACCAGAACCAGAACACAGAUGUUUACCCAGAAUGCACUGCAGCCAACAGCUGCUGUCUGAAAGGACCAGGAAGUCCUCUGUAGACCAGAGGGUCUAGACCUGAGCUUGGACCAAACUGGCUCCAACAGAAACCUGAUCCAGAACCCAGCAGCUGGUCUACAACUGAACGGGUCCAAAAGAGGUCAGAACCACCUCAGAACCAGAUCAGUUUUAUUUUGUCCCAAAACCCUAGAACUGAGGGGGCUGGACCGGUACUGGUCCAGAGGGUUCUGGAGGGGUUCAGGUUCUGACCCGUUCAGCCGUUAGCUUCAUGCAGAGCAACAAGCAGCAACAGGGACAGAAUAAAGAACUGGUUCUGAUAGGUCCUGGUUCUGAUGGGUCCAGGUUCUGAUGGGUCCUGGUUCUGAGGGGUCCUGGUUCAGAUGGGUCCAGGUUCUGAUCAGUCCAGGUUGUGAUCUGAGGAGACAUUCUUGUGGUUCUGCUGGUGACAGGAACCUAACAGACAUGGCUUGUUUGGGUUUUUGCGGGUCGUGUUCAGAACCAGAGUUUAAGGCUUCUGUAGGAGUCUCUGCUGCGUUCACUGACCCGCUGCCAGGAGCCCCCCGCUCCGAGGGGCUCCUGAGGCUCAGCAGCUUUGUGAAACAAACAAACACGUUUGAAGCAGCAGCCAAAACAACAACAACGACAACAACAACAGUCCGGUUACCGUGGCAACCACAGCCAGCAUCAACAGAAAGAACAGUCUUAGUUCAGGUGGGCGACCCACACUGGUUUACUGCAGCACAGAAGGUUCUGGACCGGCUCAGAUAAAUGCUGCCACAUGUUUCCAUCAGAGGUUUUGCUCAUCUUCAUCAUCUUCAUCAGGUGUAAAUUGUUUCUGUGGGUUCUGGUCCAGACCCGGUCCAAACAUGUGGAACAUCUGGGUCGGAUCAGCAGACAGGUUCUGGAAAUCAACACCGCUCUCCUCCCAUCUAACGGGUCAGAACCUUUAGAGGCAACCGAGAAUAAAAUAAAAUAAAAUAAAAUAAAAUUUAAAUAAAAUUAAAUCAAAUCAAAUAAAACAAAAUAUAAAAUAAACAAAAUAAAAUUGAAUAAAAUCAGCCCGCCUCCUACAUUCAGAUCUGAAACCUGUUUUUAUCUCAGCUGAACUUUUAGUCUCUGAUGUCACCAGGUGGGAGUGUCUUAGGGAGGGGCGUGGCUUGGGUAAGAUGUGAUUGGUCAGAUUGAGGUGAAGUAAUGGUAAAAACUUAAACAUGUACUUAUUAUUAUUGACAGAUAGUAACUUCCUGUCUCCAGUUAUGACUGAAAUUAAAAUUCAUAAAGUACCUGUUACCUGUUACACUCACAGACCACGCCCACAUAUCAAUCUGACCAAUCACAGCUUUCCCCAACCACUCCCACAAGAAAUACCUACUUAAAUAUUCACUCACUAAAACUAACCAGAUUGACUAAACAGAUUAAAUAUCUGAUAAAACUAACCAGAUUAAAAUAACCAGAUUAAAUAAUAUGAUACAAAUAACCAGAUUAAAGUAGCCAGAUUAAAGUAACUAGAGUAAAUAGAGAUUUAAACCAACCAGAUUAAAUACUCAGAUUAUACUAACCAGAUUAAAUCCUCAGAUUAAACUAACCAGAUUAAUGUAUCCAGAUUAAAUACUCAGAUUAAAUUAACCAGGUUAAACUAACCAGAUAAAAUAAUGAGAUUUAAACCAACCAGAUUAAUACCAUAUUAAUGUAUCCAGAUUAAAUGCUCAGAUCAAAUUAACCAGAUUAAAUUAGCCAGAUCAAACUAACCAGAUUAAAUGCUCAGAUUAAGAUAACCAGAUUAAAUGCUCAGAUUAAACUAACCAGAUUAAAUCCGAUUAAACUAACCAGAUUAAAUAAUCAGAUUAUAUUAGCCAGAUCAAACUAACCAGAUUAAAUGCUCAGAUUAAUCUAACCAGAUUAAAUGCUCAGAUUAAUCUAACCAGAUUAAAUGCUCAGAUUAAUCUAACCAGAUUAAAUGCUCAGAUUAAACUAACCAGAUUAAUUAACCAGAUUAAACUAAUCAGAUUAAUUAACCAGAUUAAACUAACUAGAUUAAAUAACCAGAUCAAACUAACCAGAUUAAAUAAUCAGAUUAAACUAAACUGAUUAACUAACCAAAUUAAAGUAACCAGAUUAAAUAUCAGAUCAAAUUAACCAGAUUAAAUAUGAUGCAACUAGCCAGAUUAAAAUAACCAGAUUAAAUAAUAUGAUACAAAUAACCAGAUUAAAGUAGCCAGAUUAUGCUAACCAGAUUAAAUACUCAGAUUAAACUAACCAGAUUAAAUACUCAGAUUAAACUAAUCAGAUUAAUGUAUCCAGAUUAAAUA